CUUAAUACAUGCAAGUCGAACGGUAAGGUCUCUUCGGAGAUACACGAGUGGCGCACGGGUGCGUAACGCGUAUGCAACCUACCUUUAACUGGGAAAUAGCCCCGAGAAAUCGGGAUUAAUGUCCCAUACUAUUCUGAGAAUGCAUAUUCUUAGAAUGAAAGCUCCGGCGGUUAUUGAUGGGCAUGCGUGACAUUAGCUAGUUGGUGAGGUAACGGCUCACCAAGGCUACGAUGUCUAGGGGUCCUGAGAGGGUUAACCCCCACACUGGUACUGAGACACGGACCAGACUCCUACGGGAGGCAGCAGUAAGGAAUAUUGGGCAAUGGACGCAAGUCUGACCCAGCCAUGCCGCGUGAAGGAUGAAUGUCCUAUGGAUUGUAAACUUCUUUUAUGCAGGAAAAACAUCCCGGUCGUGAACCGGGACUGAUGGUACUGUAUGAAUAAGCAUCGGCUAACUCCGUGCCAGCAGCCGCGGUAAUACGGAGGAUGCAAGCGUUAUCCGGAUU
rnacentral:rRNA from 1 species